CUUCCGUGUCUUUGCCAAGGCUAUGUCUGAUUCAGAAAUACUGAAGUUAGUCUAUAGGUGUAUCCUGUGCAACGAAGACAUGUCAAAAAAGCAAAAUAGGAAGACCUUAGAGAAUGAGUGUUGGAGAAGCUGAGCAAGUAUCAUAAUUUGCCUCUUGAUUUCAUCACUCAAAGAUAUUUUCACGGGACCUAAUGUGACCAAAACCAUUCUACGAACACAGAAGAAUCCAAGAGACUAUUCAGGAAGAACAAAUUCUUGAAGACAGUCCAGGCCAAGACCAGGAAGAAUCCAUUCCCAGCCCCCAAACCCUGUCUCCCUUGCCUAACUCCCGGGAGCAUCCACUUUCCCCAUUUCUGUACCAUCUGCCACCCUUUACAAUGUCUUCCCAGAACUCAAAAUCUAGCCUACAAAUUCAUGAAGAGCCUCUUCUGAAGACCAGAUUCUAGGCCCGGGGAAUAUUAAAGUGUCUUUAAAGAUCUCAUAUUUACGUUAACAUGAGUAAAGGGUAACACAGAAAUCAUCAGGGCUCAGGGUUACCUCUGUAAUUCUGAUUUUGAAAUGAAU